CAGAGGCGGCGGGAGUGGCGGAAGAGGCAGGCUUUGCGGGCUCGGGUUCUGAAGGCAAGUCUUCGCGGAUGUCGAACAUGGCUGGACACAGCAGUUUCGACGCAC
rnacentral:misc_RNA from 1 species